UCUCCUUUGGUGUAGUGGUUAUCACUUUGGAUUUUGAUGUAUAUCUUCAAAAGUUCCAACAACCCCGGUUCGACUCCGGGAAGGAGAU